GUAUGUUGUCGUUCAUCUCUUUCGUUUGCCUCUGCACCGCCAGGUCGAACAGUUCCUUGAUCCUUUCCGCCUGGACAAGUGAGCCGGAAGCAACAUUCAAUUGAGUCCAACGCGAUCAAUCGAGUUUUCUUUUGACGAAGAUUUAUCCCGACACACGUAUCGAAGCUUGACAAACAGCUCGGAGAAAUCACGAAGGAAUCGGUACGCUCUAUUGACUUUAACCUGCUGGACUUGGUACUCUGGACAUCUCAAUGGACUAAUCUUUCUACAUCUAAUUAUGCUAAUUUGUACCGAAACUGGACGUUACACACACGUUAUGGAUCAAUAAAGUUUUUUUAUCGCCUCUGCCAGAUUCUCUAUAAAGAUGAUAAUAGCGACACAGCUUGAAGAAGCUCGACACGAUAAAAGCGAUCUCAGGUAAUUCUUUGAAAAAAAUCUUUGAAAAUUAGAUGAGCUUUUUCUCUUCAAUUAAUUUCGAUAUAUUUAUCGAUCUAUAUUUAUUGAUCGUCAAAGUAUAGGCAAUUUUUUUCUAACUUUGCGUCGGCUUUUUCUUUAAAUUUGUAGUAUUGAAA